CUGUAAGCCUGUGAAGGUGGCCUGUGAGGGUUGCUGGAGGUAUCAGAAGUGCGAAUGCUGACAUAAGUAACGAUAAAGCGGGUGAAAAGCCCGCUCGCCGGAAGACCAAGGGUUCCUGUCCAACGUUAAUCGGGGCAGGGUGAGUCGACCCCUAAGGCGAGGCCGAAAGGCGUAGUCGAUGGGAAACGGGUUAAUAUUCCCGUACUUGGUGUUACUGCGAAGGGGGGACGGAGAAGGCUAUGUUGGCCGGGCGACGGUUGUCCCGGUUUAAGCGUGUAGGUGUGUGUUCCAGGUAAAUCCGGUUCACUUUAACACUGAGGCGUGAUGACGAGGCACUACGGUGCUGAAGCAACAAAUGCCCUGCUUCCAGGAAAAGCCUCUAAGCAUCAGGUAACAUCAAAUCGUACCCCAAACCGACACAGGUGGUCAGGUAGAGAAUACCAAGGCGCUUGAGAGAACUCGGGUGAAGGAACUAGGCAAAAUGGUGCCGUAACUUCGGGAGAAGGCACGCUGACAU
rnacentral:rRNA from 1 species